CUGUGUAGCAGAAGUUCUCCUUGCUCUGUAAUACCUCCAUAUACUUGGGAUUGUUUACUGGAACCUUAAGCCAGAAAAUGUUCUUGUAAGGGAAGAUGGACAUAUAAUGCUCUUUGACUUUGGUCUUUCCCUUCGUUGUGCUGUCAGCCUAACAGUAGUGAAGUCGUCAACACUCAGGUCUGAAACCCUGAAAAAGAAUCCGGUUUAUUGCAUUCGACAUGCCUGCAUCAAGCCCUCAUGUAUCCAACCGUCAUGUAUUGUCCCUACAACUUGUUUUCUCCUCGAUCCUUUUGAAAAUCCAAGAAAGUUCAGAAACCAAAGAAUGAAACCGGGAACCAAGUUACCCCACUGCCAGAACUUAUCGCUGAGCCAACCAACGCUCCAUGUCGUUUGUAGGAACUCACGAGUACCUGGCGCCUGAAACUAUCGAAGGUGAAGGGCAUGGAAACGCUGUUGAUUGGUGGAGUUUUGGGAUCUUUCUGUAUGAGCUAUUAUUUGGUAGCUUUUCUUCUAAUAAAUCAUAGAACUGAAUUAGGAUGUGGAAGGCAAUGAUGCACUAUGGUUUGCGCAACAAAGUCUCUGCUUGAAGAAUGAAUUUUUGGUGUUUCUGCUAUUCCUUUGUUAAUUUUCCAAGAGGUGCUG